CUGGCAUCUUGAACAUAAUUGCUGAUUCACUUUAUCAUUUUCAGUGGGCGAGAUUCUGUGCGGAGGUUCCGGGGGCACAGGUGGAAGGUUUAUCUUGCCCUGUCGAAAUGUGGCAGCUCGGGACUUCAUGCUUGGAGGACUGAUCAGGGAUUCGUUGGUGCCAAGCACUUGGGUGGCAUACAGUACAGUUUGAGAUUCAUGGGAUGCUGCGUGGGGGCGUACAGAGGGGAUUCAUUCUGUGGAGGUACGUUUAGAUGUUUUGUUAUGGUUUAUGUGUCGGUUGUUU